rnacentral:rRNA from 1 species
UACGAAGGGGGCUAGCGUUGUUCGGAAUUACUGGGCGUAAAGGGCGCGUAGGCGGUGCCUCAAGUCAGGCGUGAAAGCCCCGGGCUCAACUGGGGAGGGUCACGCGAUACUGAUCGACUCGAAGGCAGGAGAGGGUAGUGGAAUUCCCGGUGUAGUGGUGAAAUGCGUAGAUAUCGGGAGGAACACCAGUGGCGAAGGCGACUACCUGGCCUGUUCUUGACGCUGAGGCGCGAAAGCUAGGGGAGCAAACGGG